UACGUAGGGGGCGAGCGUUGUCCGAAUUUACUGGGCGUAAAGCGCGCGUAGGCGGGCUAUUAAGUUGUGGGUGAAAUCCCGGGGCUCAACCCCGGAACUGCCUGCAAAACUGGUAGCCUUGAGGUAUGGAGAGGGAAGUGGAAUUCCAGGUGUAGCGGUGAAAUGCGUAGAUAUCUGGAGGAACACCCGUGGCGAAGGCGGCUUCCUGGCCAUAUCCUGACGCUGAGGUGCGAAAGCUAGGGGAGCGAAC
rnacentral:rRNA from 1 species